GGAGGAUUACCCAAGUGGCUUAAGGGGACGGUUUUGAAAACCGUUAGAGGGGGCAACUCCUGCGUGGGUUCAAAUCCCACAUCCUCCU
rnacentral:tRNA from 1 species